AUGGUGGCGCUCUCCGGCGGGCACACUCUGGGCGUGGCGCACUGCCCGUCGUUCACGCCCCGCCUCAAGUUCAAGGCGGCCGUGUUGGACGCCGGAUUCGCGUCGUCACUGGCGGCUACGUGCAGCAAGGGCGGGGACUCCGCGACGGCGACGUUCGACCGGACGAGCACGACAUUCGACGGAGUCUACUUCAAGGAGCUGCAGCAGCGGAGGGGCCUGCUGAGCUCGGACCAGGCGCAGUUCGAGUCGCCGGAGACGCAGCGGCUUGUGAACAUGUUCACCAUGAACCAGGGCUACUUCUUCUAUGUGUUCCAGCAGGGGAUGGGCAAGAUGGGUGCGGGCAAGAGCUUGAGCUCCGUGCAAGGAUAG
rnacentral:rRNA from 1 species